CCACUUCCCUUUCAUCUUUUUCCCUCCCCACCGCUUCCUCCACUUCCUCACCAUGUUCAAAAUUAAAAGUAUUAAAUUUUAUUUUUAAAAUUUGAAACUUAAAAAUUCUAAAACAUUUUUUUACGAAAGAUAUUUAACUGGAAAAUAAUUUGAUUUUUCAAUACUGAUAUAUCUUACCAGAUAGAAACAUUUUCAAAAAAAUCAGAAAAAUCGUCAUCCCACCGCGUUAACUUUUGGCAUGUUUUUGCAGCGUCCAACCACACGCGCCGCCGGCCACUUUCGGACCCUCACCACUACCAGUAUUCCCAUCUCCUCUGCUUACCCCACCUCCGAAUCCACCCAUCUUCUCCACAAGUUGCGUGAUCUUUGCACGCGCCAUCAUCUCCAAGAAGCCAUCACUCUAUUCCACGACUUCAAAACACUUCAUUUACCACAAGCGUAUGCCACCUUGUUUCAUGCCUGUGCUAACUCCAAAAGCCUCCAGCGCGGCGAUGCCUUGUAUCACCACAUGCUUACGCACAACCCCUUUUGCGCAAAUGACAUGUAUACAGCUAAUCAUGUGAUUAAUAUGUAUGCGAAAUGUGGGAGAUUGGAAUGUGCACGGAAGGUGUUUGAUGAGAUGUCUGACAGAAAUGUUGUUUCUUGGACUGCUAUGGUUUCUGGGUAUGCUCAACAAGGGAGAGGUGAUGACUGUUUUGGGGUUUUUUCGAGUAUGGUGUCUGACUGUCGUCCCACUGAUUUUGCGUAUGCAAGUGUACUUACUGUGUGUGAUGGUGAUCGUGGUAGGCAGGUACAUGUACAUGCCUUGAAAACCUCUUAUGAUAAUUAUGUUUAUGUUGCCAAUGCUCUCAUUACAAUGUACUGGAAGAAUUGUUGUAAUACUGGUGGUGGUGAUGAUGAUGAAAAGGUUGAGGCUUGGAUUGUUUUUGACGGCAUGCAGUAUAAGAAUCUCAUUACUUGGAAUUCUAUGAUUGCAGGUUUUCAGCAGAGUGGACAUUGGGUUGAAGCUUUGAAUUUUUUUUCCUGGAUGAGACAUGAUGGUGUUGGGUUUGAUCGUGCAACGCUUCUUGGUGUCAUAUCUUCCUUAUGGGGUAAAAAUUGUGAUGAUGCUAGUUUGGUGUUGCAAUGCUGUCUUCAAGUCCACUGUCUGACGAUAAAGACGGGAUUCGUUUCUGAAAUAGGAGUAACAACUGCGUUAACAAAAGCUUACUCCAAUCUUGGAGGAGAUGUUGCUGAGUGUUACAAUCUUUUUCUUGAUAGUAGUGGAAAUCGAGAUGUAGUUUCUUGGACUGGAAUAAUAACCACAUUUUCUGAAAGGAAUCCAGAAGAAGCUCUCUUCCUUUUUCAACAAUUUUGUCGAGAGGGCUUUUCUCCAGACCGUUAUACAUACUCCAUUGUGUUAAAGGCUUGUGCUGGCUUAGUAACUGAUAGACAUGCAUCCGCUAUACAUUCAAAGGUUAUCAAAGCAGGGUUUGAAGAUGACACUGUACUAGCGAAUUCAUUGAUCCAUGCAUAUGCAAGAACUGGAUCGAUCGUGAGGUCCAAAAGAGUAUUUGAUGAGAUGGAUUAUCGAGAUACAGUUUCUUGGAAUUCGAUGUUAAAGGCUUAUGGCUUGCAUGGACAAGCUAAGCAAGCAUUGUCCACCUUUGAUCAAAUGAAUGUCCAACCUGAUGCAACCACCUUUGUAGCCCUCCUCUCGGCCUGUAGUCAUGCUGGAUUGGUAGAUGAAGGUUCUAAAAUUUUUAAUACUAUGGGCAGUAAUUAUGGAAUAGUUCCUAAACUUGAUCACUUUGCAUGUAUGGUUGAUAUACUUGGACGGGCUGGUCGUAUUCCUGAAGCCGAGAAGGUUAUUAAAGAAAUGCCUAUGGAAGCUGAUUCUGUUGUGUGGAGCACUUUGCUUGCGGCAUGUCGUAAACAUGGUAAAACCGAGCUGGCUAACAUGGCUGCCUCAAAACUAAUGGAAUUGGAUCCAAAAAGAUCACUAGGAUACGUUAUGAUGUCAAACUUAUAUUGCUUAACCGGUAGCUUUGGUGAAGCAGGCCUUGUACGAAAGGAAAUGAAAGGGCAGGGAGUAAAGAAGGAACCUGGUUUGAGCUGGACUGAGUGUGGUAGUCGAGUCCAUGAAUUUGCAUCUGGAGGUUUAAGACAUCCCCAAGGAGAUGCUAUCCGCAAGAAUCUUGAAGAGCUAGUGAAGCAGUUAAAAGGUGUGGGUUAUGUCCCUGAGACAGUCUUAGCACUGCAUGAUGUUGAAGAAGAGCACAAGGAAGAGCAGUUGUAUCAUCACAGUGAGAAGCUGGCUUUGGUGUUUGCCUUGAUGAAUAGUGGUCAUUCUCAACGCAAUGACGGUAUUAUUAGAAUUAUCAAGAACAUUAGAAUUUGUGUCGAUUGUCAUAACUUUAUGAAGUUUGCAUCUGGGUUAAUCCAAAUGGAGAUUGUUGUGAGGGAUUCCAAUCGAUUCCACCACUUUCGAGAGAGGGCAUGCUCCUGUAAUGAUUACUGGCGGCAUUACCAUCUAGAUAUCUACUAGGCAAGGGUCAAGGGCUGUUAGCUGCCAGAAACUGUCUUGGAAGAAAAUUCAGCUCUUCUUGUGUGUCCCAUACUUUAAUAGCUGAGCUGGUUGAAAACGAGAGUUUUAGGUCAUUUUCGCAGAUAAAAAUGUUUGCACAGGCGUAAGAUUGUGCAAGAGAGGCAGUUUAUGUUACUGAAACUCCAAAUGGUGCCAUGUUUAUUUGUUACAUAACGAAAGAGAUCCAAAGUUUAUGUUUGUUACAAUAAGUAACAGCUGCAAAGCUUAAAGUUUGUUACACAUAUAGCAGCUUUGGAAACUGUUAUAUACAGUAUACAGAUUUUACAUCUGAGAAGCAGGUAUUCUCUUUUCAUGUAUACUUAAAAACUAACAAAAUGAUAAUAAUCCUUAAUAAAAUACAUUAUUCUUUAUUUAUUUGUUUUUUUUGAAAACACACUUACGCACCAAUCUUGUCUUCAAACCCUCCGGUAAGGAGAGCAAGGGUGAUACCAUUGACCAAGAGGUAUGUUUCUGUGCAAAGUUAACAUGCUUAGGAACACAGUAUAUGGUAAGCAUAAAUGGAUUAGAUGAAAUCAGAAACCUUCAUAUUCUAUCCAGAACACUUUAUUUAUGGAAUUCUUGAAUGGCAGAAACAGCUCCAGUAAUGGCCUCAAAUCUUCGCCUUUCCUUCAUGAUCAUCUUGGCAACAUCAAGAGCCUGCCGUUCACAUUUUGCUCGUGUAGCAGUAUCAGUUAUAGACUCAAAAUCCUCUACAUGAGCUACCCCUACAAUUCUCCUGUAUUUUGAAGAUAAUCUGGUUAGACUAUUGUAACAAACACUAUAUUUUAGAAGCACUGGAAUGCAUUUAAGAAAAUCACAUCAGGUAUGUAUAUUUCGCAUUGCAGCUGAAGUUUCUUGUUUGCACCCAUAAAUCAGUUGGUCCAGAAAAAUAGAAUCAGAAUUCCGUACUAUGAAAGAUGGAACCAUGUUCGAUAUGAAAUAUAAUUACCGUCUGACCUUAUCAUUUUGGCAGCAGCAAAUCCAAGAGUGUCAUGGAGCAAAUCUUUUAUGUAUUUCCGCUUCACAAGCAGCUGAAGCUCUGCAUUGUUAUAGAUUUCUGGAAGGUAAGCUUCUCCAGAGCUAUUAUUAGAGUCAUCCCAGAGAGCAGUAAACUUUUUAUCAAACAGAGUCCAUAUCUCAACUAUGGUCCUCAAAAUCCACUCUUUGUAUAGCUGCACAACACAUAUAAUUUUAUUCUGACAACUGAAAUCGAUCCAGAUUGACUCUAAACUCUUGAACCUUAUAUCUUAGAAACAGAGAUGGGAUCAACAUACUUUUCGAUCAUUCCCAUGGUUUGCAUGUCCAUCCUGUGCAAAGUAUGCCAGAAACAAGUUUCCAAUGAAGGCUCCGAUAUCAAAUCCCAUUGGCCCAUAAAAGGAAAAUUCAGGAUCUAUGACUUGAGUCGAAUCACGGGUGACCAUGACAGAACCGGUAUGGAGAUCACCAUGAAUUAGAGCUUGUGCUCUUUCACAGAACCUGGAGACAGAAUAAGUAAGCUAAGCUGGAUAUCAUAAUUCACAUACAACAAAAGAGAGCUCUGUAGGCCGCAUAGUACCUUGAUUUUAGUUCAGCAACUUCAAGCUUCAAGAUAUUAUCUUCCCGGACUGCUUGAGCAUCACUAUCAAGGUAAGGGGAAGUCCAGUAACUAUGUUGAGACUCUCUGUAAGGAUCAGAGAAGAUCACUUGCUCAGUGAGCCUGCACAUUUCCACAUUUCCACAAAAUUUCGCCACUGCAGAAAGGCCAAUUGUCAAAUCACUGAUAACAAGCUUGCCACAAACAAGUUUCUUUCAAAUUUUCAUGUAGUUCACCUGAACUUCUGUGCUGCGUGGUGGUAAGAUGAAGAAGCGACGAGAAGAAAAGAGUCCUCGCCAUGAAUUCUGACAUGUGUUCUGCGAGCAGUGGAUACUCAAUUCCAGAAAUAAGUCCUUUCCUCAAAACUAUAUGCGGAGGCUCCAAGUAGCGCAUACCAAUUACACUCAUAGUUCUGUCAUAGUAAUAAACUGUGGGAACUGGGAACAUGAGCAGGGCAGAGACGGCCCUGCUCUCUUAGGGCCUCGGCCUCGAAGUAAGAACGUUCCUUCGACAUCGACCAUGAUUCCCCCAUACUCCGUACGUAAGGGAGAGCCUACAAGAGACAUUUCAAACACGUUAAAGAGAACAUUCAAAUACUAAUACCAGUAUAAAACUGAGAAUUUGAAAUAACACCUCAAAUCAUGUCAUUUGAAAUGAAAUACAUGUUUUCAAACGCAAUCUAAUUUACCUGCUUGAUGACGAGAGAAGCAGAGGGAGUAGCAACAAUAAACACGAAAUUAAGAUUGCCAUCACCAACUUCUCUGAUUUUCAAGUCAUCGAGAUUGUAUCCCAACUGGGAACGCAGAGCUGGCGUGGCUUUUAUAUAUUCUACUAUGUACUUGUGGUCCAGUGGUCGGAACUCGUUGGAUGAUGACUCCAUUGGUGGCUGGUGGCCGGUGGCUGUGGCUUGCGGGUGGGAAGUGUGUGGUGCGAUUUAUAUAAAAACAUGCAUGGUUGAAUGAGUCAGGGUACGAAAUGGAGCGGCAUGAACCACGUGGGUCCAAUGGCUCCGGAAAGCGAAAGGCGGCUGCAUGAUUCUCUCAUAAUUUCCAGUAGUGGCCGUGGAAUCAGGAUUUUCAACUACAAAAACAUUGAAGACCAGCCUAGACAUUUUUACUUUUACUUUUCUAAUAGUUGGCCAGAUCAUUAUAAAUAUCAGCCUUUAACCCGUGCAAAGCACGGGCGGGUAUAUAAUUAGUAAUUUAUUAUUUAUAAUUUAAAUUUUAA